UCUAACAAAAGUAUUGAAAGUUGAACAAAAGAACUUUGUCUUUUAAGUCUUUUUUUUUAAAGAAAAACAUAUCAUAAUUUCUUAUAAAACGUCCAAAAUUAAGGAUUUAUUCAAGAUUUUGUGAUAAUGCUGUGGAAAAUUCUUGUACUGAUGAGGAAAACCAACUGAGAUUAUUAGUGACUAAUAAAGGGUCACCGCCAACUAUUAUUGUGGCUCCAAUUUUGAGUCCUUUGAAUUGUACUUCUCUUCUUGUUCAGUCAGUGGCAUGUCCAAAGUUCGGUUUUGCGUCUGUUUGUGGACGUAGAAGAGAUAUGGAAGAUGCCGUGGCGAUUCAUCCUUCUUUUCUCCAAAUGGAACAAGAGAAUAAUGGUGCAGAUUUGCAUUAUUUUGGCGUCUAUGAUGGUCAUGGUUGCUCUCAUCACUUCGGCAUGAAGGUUAUAAAAUAAAAAAAAGGGUCCAAUAAAUAGAUCUAACUUGUAAGAUGAUGAGAGGAAUAAAUGCAACUUCAUAUUCAGCCGGUACAUUGACCCAGCUGAGCUUUGCCACUGGCCAGAUUUCUUCCACAGCCCAAGGGAUCGCAACAAGCUUCUAGAGGCGUGGUGGUUUUCGUGGGGGUAGAGGUCCGCCGGUUGUGGAGGCGGUUUUAGGGUUGGUACAGUUAAAUUUUGAAAAAGAAAUAUAAUGUACUUUUGAUCUGUC